CACAUGGGGGAAACCUGAUGCAGCUAUACCGCGUGUGUGAUGAAGGUCUUAGGAUUGUAAAACACUUUCAGCAAGGGAAAAAAUUAUAUAAAUAAUACUUAUAUUAACUGAUAUUACCUGCAAAAGAAGUACCGGCUAACUCCGUGCCAGCAGCCGCGGUAAUACGGAGGGUACAAGCGUUAAUCGGAAUUAUUGGGCGUAAAGAGUACGUAGGUGGUAUAUUAAGUCAGAUGUGAAAUACUUAAGCUUAACUUAAGAACUGCAUUUGAAACUAAUAAACUAGAGUUUUAUAGAGGGGAGUAGAAUUCCAAGUGUAGCGGUGAAAUGCGUAGAUAUUUGGAGGAAUACCAGAGGCGAAGGCGACUCCCUGGGUAAUAACUGACACUGAGGUACGAAAGCUUGGGGAGCAAACAGGAUUAGAUACCCUGGUAGUCCAUGCUGUAAACGAUGUCAAUUUGAAGAUUGUAAUAUUAUUAUUUUUUAUAAUUUUCGUAGCUAACGCAUUAAAUUGACCGCCUGGGGAUUACGACCGCAAGGUUAAAACUCAAAUGAAUUGACGGGGACCCGCACAAGCGGUGGAGCAUGUGGUUUAAUUCGAUACAAACGCGAAAAACUUACCUACUCUUGACAUCUAUAAGUAA
rnacentral:rRNA from 1 species